AAAUUACUUGUUUGCAAUAAAAUUUGUAGUAAAAUUGUUAUUGUGAUAAGUAAACAUCAUUUUCAUGGCUUGCAUGUGUCUUCACUUCAGCUUGAAUAAUAAAGCACAUGGAACGGAUGUAUAACUUGAGACUACAGUAUACGGCAUUGUUUGACUGUAUGAAUCCUGUCAAAUAAUUGUGAUGAAAGAAGAAGAAAAAAUGGCGAAAAAGACAAACCUUGAAAUCUUGCACUGUGCGUGGGAUUAGCUUAUUUCGUUUAGGUUAAAUGAUAUACCAUUAAUCUUUAAAUCAAGAGCAUAUUUGAAAUGUUAAACAGUAAUAGGUAAACUCUCCAAAUGUCUGGAAAUUUGUCAGAAUUCCUUUUAACUCGACAGCUUAUACCCUGCCAUUGUUUUUCUGUGAAAUUCUUCAAAAGGUU